GUGGGGAAUAUUGGACAAUGGGCGCAAGCCUGAUCCAGCCAUGCCGCGUGAAUGAUGAAGGCCUUAGGGUUGUAAAGUUCUUUCGCCAGGGACGAUAAUGACGGUACCUGGAUAAGAAGCCCCGGCUAACUUCGUGCCAGCAGCCGCGGUAAUACGAAGGGGGCUAGCGUUGUUCGGAUUUACUGGGCGUAAAGCGCACGUAGGCGGAUCUUUAAGUCAGGGGUGAAAUCCCGAGGCUCAACCUCGGAACUGCCCUUGAUACUGGAGAUCUUGAGUUCGGGAGAGGUGAGUGGAACUGCGAGUGUAGAGGUGAAAUUCGUAGAUAUUCGCAAGAACACCAGUGGCGAAGGCGGCUCACUGGCCCGAUACUGACGCUGAGGUGCGAAAGCGUGGGGAGCAAACAGGAUUAGAAACCCCAGUAGUCC
rnacentral:rRNA from 1 species